CCUAGGGGAGGCAGCAGUAGGGAAUAUUGGGCAAUGGGCGCAACCCUGAUCCAGCGAUGCCGCGUAUGUGAAGAAGGCCUGCGGGUUGUAAAGCAUUUUUGAUGGGGAAGAAGUGUGUUUAAUGAAUAGUUAGAUACAUUGACGGUACCCAUAGAAUAAGUACCGGCAAACUCUGUGCCAGCAGCCGCGG
rnacentral:rRNA from 1 species